ACUGUAAACCCGAAUGUUCAAAGUAAUUAAAUAUAAUGAGUAACUAAUACUCAAAGUUCCCAAAAAAGCGCUAUUAACUUAAUCGUAUGAAGUUUGUGUAACACAUUCCCUCUUUUUGAGUACGUGUAACUAACAAUUUUUAAUUAAAAAUAAAAUAUGUUUAAGUUAAGUAAAUUAAACCUAAAAACAUAAUUAAUGUAUAUUUUUUUGAAUUAAGUAAUCAUGUUCUGUAUUUCGUAUUUCUGUUUUUCUAAUAGGUUGGUUAAAGAAUUUGUUGCCCCGCAUACUCGCAGAUUUUGUCCUCAAGUGUUUGUCAUUAAUUUUUUUAUAAAUAAAUACAUUAAUUAAUUAAUGAUUAUAAAAACAAAAAAAAAGAAAACACAAAAAUACGAAAAAUUGUUAGCAAUUAAUCUAAAUGUUAUUUCAUAUUAUUGUUAUUGUUUUUGAAGAAAAACGUCGAAGAAGGAAAAAAAACUGGUGAAACCAAUUUUGUUUGGUUUUCGUAUAUUUUCUUUUAUUUUGAAAAGCUACGCAGUCUCUGGCUGACGGUCAAAAUUCAAUUCGUUUUGCAUUCUGUCAGACGCUCAUCAGGGCGGGGCCUUCCACCUCCCAACAUUUGCUAAAUCCCGCCCCCACUUCUUUACUCAACUAACCAAUGGAGUUGUUUGGUGUCGGAGGUUAGAGGAGAGAAUGCUAGCUUCUAUCUGCUAAAGAGUUAGCUUCUGUCUGGAGAACUUGCAGUUCAACCGCUGUGUGACAGCACUAAAAGAGAUUUUGGAGUGAAUCUUUAGGGCUGCAGUGAACUUCAGACAGCAGCGGUCCGCAACCCAGGUCGAGUUUGAUGAGCCGGAGCUUGAUGGUGUCGCAGUGGGGCUUCUUACUGUCAUCAAUGACCAGGACUCAAGUCCAGUGCACUACGAGCCUGUAAAAAUCUCUGUUGUGAUGGAAAGUGAUGAAGUGGUCAGCCUCCCCAGAUUCAGUGAUGCCUUCGUGGUAAUGUUUGGACUCAUCUAUGCAAUGCACCUUAAAUAUCCUAAACCACU